GAUCCUGGCUCAGGGAUGGACGCUAGCGGCAGGCCUAAUACAUGCAAGUCGGACGGGAUUCAGGGAGUAGCUUGCUACAGGACUGAUGAGAGUGGCGCACGGGUGCGUAACGCGUGAGCAACCUACCCAUAUCAGGGGGAUAGCCUCUCGAAAGAGAGAUUAACACCGCAUAACAUCAUUUACCGGCAUCGGUUUGUGAUCAAAUAUUUAUAGGAUAUGGAUGGGCUCGCGUGACAUUAGCUAGUUGGAGAGGUAACGGCUCACCAAGGCUACGAUGUCUAGGGGCUCUGAGAGGAGAAUCCCCCACACUGGUACUGAGACACGGACCAGACUCCUACGGGAGGCAGCAGUAAGGAAUAUUGGUCAAUGGAGGCAACUCUGAACCAGCCAUGCCGUCGUGCAGGAUGACUGCCCUAUGGGUUGUAAACUGCUUUUGUCAGGGAAUAAACCGUUUCUACGUGUAGGAAGC
rnacentral:rRNA from 1 species